AAAACGACUCUCGGCAACGGAUAUCUCGGCUCUCGCAUCGAUGAAGAACGUAGCAAACUGCGAUACUUGGUGUGAAUUGCAGAAUCCCGUGAAUCAUCGAGUCUUUGAACGCAAGUUGCGCCCGAAGCCGUCAGGCCGAGGGCACGUCUGCCUGGGCGUCACG
rnacentral:rRNA from 5 species